rnacentral:rRNA from 1 species
AUUGAACGCUGGCGGCAUGCCUUACACAUGCAAGUCGAACGGCAGCACGGGAGCAAUCCUGGUGGCGAGUGGCGAACGGGUGAGUAAAGUAUCGGAACGUGCCCAGUCGUGGGGGAGAACGUAGCGAAAGUUACGCUAAUACCGCAUACGAUCUACGGAUGAAAGCGGGGGAGCGCAAGACCUCGCGCGAUUGGAGCGGAUGAUAUCGGAUUAGGCAGUUGGUGGGGGAAAGGCUCACCAAGACGACGAUCUGUAGCUGGUCUGAGAGGGCAACCGGCCACACUGGGAGUGAGACACGGCCGAGACUCCUACGGGAGGCAGCAGUGGGGAAUUUUGGACAAGGGGCGCAAGCCUGAUCCAGCCAUGCCGCGUGCAGGAUGAAGGCCUUCGGGUUGUAAACUGCUUUUGUACGGAGCGAAAAGGUUUGGCCUAAUAAGCUGGACCCAUGACGGUACCGUAAGAAUAAGCACCGGCUAACUACGUGCCAGCAGCCGCCGUAAGAC